CCUACGGGAGGCAGCAGUGAGGAAUAUUGGUCAAUGGACGAGAGUCUGAACCAGCCAAGUAGCGUGAAGGAUGACUGCCCUAUGGGUUGUAAACUUCUUUUAUAUGGGAAUAAAAUGUUCCACGUGUGGGAUUUUGUCUGUACCAUAUGAAUAAGGAUCGGCUAACUCCGUGCCAGCAGCCGCGGUAAUACGGAGGAUCCGAGCGUUAUCCGGAUUUAUUGGGUUUAAAGGGAGCGUAGGUGGGUUGUUAAGUCAGUUGUGAAAGUUUGCGGCUCAACCGUAACAUUGCAGUUGAAACUGGCAGUCUUGAGUACAGUAGAGGUGUGCGGAAUUCGUGGUGUAGCGGUGAAAUGCUUAGAUAUCACGAAGAACUCCGAUUGCGAAGGCAGCUCACUGGACUGCAACUGACACUGAGGCUCGAAAGUGUGGGUAUCGAACAGGAUUAGAUACCCUGGUAGUC
rnacentral:rRNA from 1 species